GAAUCGCUAGUAAUCGCGGAUCAGCAUGCCGCGGUGAAUACGUUCCCGGGCCUUGUACACACCGCCCGUCACACCAUGAGAGUUUGUAACACCCAAAGCCGGUGGGGUAACCUUUUAGGAGCUAGCCGUCUAAGGUGGGACAGAUGAUUAGGGUGAAGUCGUAACAAGGUAGCCGUAGGAGAACCUGCGGCUGGAUCACCUCCUUUC
rnacentral:rRNA from 3 species